GAUGAGGAUUGUGGCCAACCUCUGAAGUUCAUUUUCUCUAUCCUUAACUCGCUGUCUGGUGGUGUAUGGCAUUUUGCCAUUAAAACCCGUUUUACAAUAGUUAGGGAAGCUUCUGCUUCGACUCCGGUGAGAGCCUGUGGGAUUGGGAGACCUCCUUUUUAGCACCUUACAGUCAUUACUCAAGUGGGUCAGCUUCUUUUAGCACUUAAGCCGUAAUCGUGAGCUUUUAUUCGUAUUUGUACUUACAGUACGGGCUCAAUUUUGUGUUGGUUGGUGGUGGAACGCUCUGUAAAUUCACCUAGAGGACUUGAAAAUGGAGCUGUCAAAUGCUCCUCCUUUGCUGAAUUCAUCUUCCGCAUCAAGCUCUAAAACGUUAGAAUCCUCAUCUGUGAUCAAUAAUCAGCCCUCUAGUGCCGGGAAACAGCAAUCAAUUGAAGUCUUCGAACCAGCGACAAGUCACAGGGUAGAACUUGCGCCGAGUAGUAGUAGUGGCCAGGGUAUUGGUGAGACGAAUACUGAUCGAUUUCAAGAAGGAGAAUCAUCCAGGGACAAUACUAUUUCUAGUACCAAUGACAGGGACAGGGAGAGGGAGCCCGUCAAUAAGUGGAUGGCAUUUGAGCAGCAAGAGCCCAGCAUUUCUCAUAUCACAACUGUUGACAAUCACCCUGCCUCAAAGUCAUUAAAGGGGAGUAUUAUCAAUACCAAUCCAGAAUUUUCUUAUAUGGGUGAGACAGUAGUAGUAACACCCAAAGAAGCAGCAGCAUUGAGCAUAGCAAAAAGAACAACAAAAGAAUGUGGGCCUGGGAAACUAAUAUCUGGGGACGAAGAUCCUAUUAUUAGUAGUAAAAAGUACUUAUCCGAUAGAUUUACGGUUGACUCAAUACAGACAUCUGAGGACUACGAAGUCUAUGGAAUCCCGAGAGUCUCUCAGGAGUUGAAGGAUGCUCUGGCAACACUUCAGCAGACGUUUGUAGUAUCGGAUGCCACAAAACCUGAUUGCCCAAUCAUGUACGCCAGUAGCGGCUUUUUUAGCAUGACUGGGUAUUCCUCAAAAGAGGUCAUUGGAAGGAAUUGCCGCUUCCUUCAGGGGCCGGAGACGGACCAGGACGAAGUUGCAAAGAUACGGAAUGCCGUGAAAACUGGGAAAAGCUACUGUGGUAGGCUCUUGAACUAUAAGAAAGAUGGCACUCCUUUCUGGAAUCUUCUCACUGUCACCCCCAUUAACGAUGACAAUGGCAAGGCCAUCAAAUUUAUUGGCAUGCAGGUUGAAGUCAGCAAAUAUACUGAAGGUGUGAAUGACAAGGCAUUACGACCAAAUGGUUUGCCAAAGUCGUUGAUCCGCUAUGAUGCUCGUCAAAAGGAGGAGGCUUUAGGAUCAAUCACGGAGGUGGUCCAGAUUGUCAAGCAUCCACGAUCCCAUACGCAGUCUGUAAAGCAGGAGGAGGAAUUCAACCUUGAUUAUAUUCUGCCCAAACCUGCUGAAAUUGAAAACAUGAGUGUACCAGGCAGACAGACCCCUCAAUUGGUUUCUGGAAUUCAUAUACCUCGUGCAGGUUCUUCCCUGGAGUUUGGCCAAAAAUCCAGAAAAUCUGUGCGCAUUUCCUUAAUGGGGUUUAAAGGAAGGUCUCUAAGCUAUGCUGGCAGGCACGAAUAUGAACAAAGUAUUGAGCCAGAGGUUCUGAUGACGAAAGAAACAGAGCGGUCUGAUAGUUGGGACCAUGCUGAACGAGAAAGGGAUAUGCGUCAAGGAAUUGACCUGGCAACCACAUUGGAACGCAUUGAAAAAAAUUUUGUGAUAACUGAUCCUAGGCUUCCUGAUAACCCAAUCAUAUUUGCUUCUGAUAGCUUUCUGGAGUUGACAGAGUAUAUGCGAGAAGAAAUUAUUGGAAGAAAUUGUCGAUUUCUUCAAGGACCUGAAACAGAUAAAGGAACUGUAUCAAUGAUAAGGGAUGCUAUAAGAGAACAAAGAGAAAUCACUGUUCAGCUGAUAAAUUAUACUAAAAGUGGGAAGAAAUUUUGGAAUUUGUUCCACUUGCAGCCAAUGCGUGAUCAAAAGGGAGAACUUCAAUACUUCAUUGGUGUUCAACUAGACGGAAGUGAUCAUUUGGAACCCUUGAGAAACCGGCUGUCAGAGAUAACAGAGCAACAAAGUGCUAAGCUGGUCAAAGCUACUGCAGAAAAUGUUGAUGAGGCUGUUCGAGAACUUCCUGAUGCCAACUUGAAACCAGAAGAUUUAUGGGCUAUCCAUUCUAAACCUGUCUACCCAAGGCCUCAUAAAAAGGAUAGUGCUUCAUGGGCUGCUAUACAAAAGGUCACUGCAAGGGGUGAACGAAUUGGGCUUAAUCAUUUCAAGCCUAUUAGACCUUUGGGAUGCGGAGACACUGGCAGCGUUCAUUUGGUGGAACUGAAUGGAACUGGUGAACUUUUUGCCAUGAAGGCAAUGGACAAGUCCAUAAUGCUGACUCGAAACAAGGUUCACCGAGCAUGCAUUGAAAGGGAAAUCAUUUCGCUACUGGAUCAUCCUUUCCUACCGACUCUGUACACAUCUUUCCAGACUUCAACACAUGUUUGCUUGAUAACUGACUUUUGCCCUGGAGGAGAGCUAUUUGCCUUGCUUGACAAGCAACCUAUGAAAAUCUUUAAAGAGGAAUGUGCAAGAUUCUAUGCAGCAGAAGUUGUGGUUGGCUUAGAAUACCUUCAUUGUUUAGGAAUAAUUUACCGCGACUUGAAGCCAGAAAACGUGUUGCUUCAACAAGAUGGACAUGUCGUGUUAACUGACUUUGACCUAUCCUUUAUGACAUCUUGUAAACCUCAAAUAAUAAAGCAUCCUCUACCCAAGAAGAGAAGGUCUAGGAGUCAACCACCGCCAACUUUUGUUGCAGAACCAGUUACGCAAUCAAAUUCAUUUGUUGGAACUGAAGAAUACAUUGCUCCGGAGAUCAUCACAGGUGAAGGCCACAGCAGUGCUAUUGAUUGGUGGGCUCUUGGUAUUUUGCUGUAUGAGAUGCUUUAUGGCCGUACACCUUUCAGGGGGAAAAAUAGGCAGAGGACAUUUGCCAACAUCUUGCACAAAGACCUCACCUUUCCAAGUAGCAUCCCGGUAAGUCUUCCAGCCAGGCAGUUGAUUCAUGCAUUGUUAAAUAGAGACCCGGGCAGCCGCUUAGGAUCAAACAGUGGUGCCAAUGAAAUCAAACAACAUUCUUUCUUUCAUGGAAUUCAUUGGCCGCUGAUCCGCUGCAUGAGCCCACCACCAUUAGAUGCACCUCUUCAAUUGAUCGGAAAAGAUCCAAAGGCAAAAAAUUUACUAUGGGAGGAUGAUGGAGUGCUUGUUAAUCCCAUGGAGCUUUUCUAGAGUCAAAUUGGAUGAAAAACUUAACCACAUUGGUUGAACAAAGUUAUGUGCUGAUAAUCAAAUGUGAGUGGGUGGAAGCGCACAUGGGCCAAGCCACAGGGGUCUAAGCAUAUCCUUGUAUUUUUCACAGUAAGCAGCUACAUAGAUGAACCAUACUUGGUCAUGAACAUUACUCACAAGAUGGGGCUCUAUGGGAUUGGCAGCAGAGUAUAGAAAAUUGUGCAUGAUAAAGCAUCCAACGGGAUUUACAGCACUUCUUUGUUCCUUCUUCUGUUUUGUUUGCGAUAUUAGUUGCCCCUAAAUGAUUGUGUAAAGGGGCGGAUACUGUGGAUGGCAAACUGCCAUCAUUGCUAAAGUGAAACUACAUUUCGUUGUAGUUUGGGUUAUGGUCCAAAAAGGUUUUCGCUUCAGACAUCAUGAUCAUUGGUUUGGGAUCAACAGCAAUCUGUUGUACAGUAUUUCUCAUGUGUUGAUAGACUUGCUGUAUACCUGUUGUUUGGAAUGGUAUACAACAUGUACAGUACUUCAUGUUA